UCUUAGUAAAUCACAUGGUUACAAAUUCAAUUCUACUGCUUGGUAUCUUAAGUCUUCUAUAACAUCAGAAUGUCUAAUGCCAAGUAGUGACGUAGCUAUUGGGGGACAGACAGCUCCCUGGCGCCUUUUCAAUUCGAGUUACCUAUAUCAGUAAUUGUUUCAUACAUCUUGAUUGUAACAAGAUAUAACAGAAUUAUGUCCCUUCAAUUGCAUAUAGAAGUAGUUCAGAUCUAAGAUAUAGAUUAAAAGAUCUGCUUGUUUUAAUUAUUAUUGAAAACAGUAUGACAAUGACGUGUUUUACUGAAACGUGAAAUUAAUUAAUGUAGAAUACAAUUACGUAUAUUAUAACUAAUGAAACAUCGCUUAAUGUUAAGAGAAAUAAGUUAAUCGUUUGGUAUGUCACGGCGCCCUUUUUUCUCGCUUUUUUUGCUCGCUUCUCCUAACUUUAGGACCUGACAACACCUUUGAAGCCAUGUGUAUCUGCGUUGUAUUAACACUACUUAUCAAAAGAAGUGUUAAUCCUAUAGAUUAGAUUAAUCUGUACCAGUUUUAGAAAUAAGUUUUGGGGUUGGUAAGAUCGAAAAAAUCCUAUGGCUACAAUGCAUAACAAAAAAUCGGUGUGGAUUGAUAGAUAGGUACAGGUGCAGGUAUGGCUGUGUGGUUAAGAAGCUUGCUUCCCAACAAUGUGGUCUUGAGUCCAAUUUCGCUGUAGCAUCUUGGGUAGGUGUUUUUUACUAUAUUUCUAGGCCAACCAAAGGUGGGGUGGAAACUAAAAGAAACCUGUCAAACAUGUAUCCCUUUGUCUUCAUAUGUGAUGGUGGUAAAUGAGCAUCAGUCAUACAAGCAAUGCUGCCCGUUUCCGGUGUUUCAUGAAAGGUUUGUCUAACCAUGGGGAAAUAUCUUGAAAACAGGUGAGGGAUAGUAAUAAGGCAUUUGACUGCAAAAGAAAAAACUGCCUCAAAUUGUCUAACCUAUACAAACAUCUAAAAGUGAACAUUAAGCAUUUAUAUAAAAUCUCAACCUAUUUUCAAUGUGCAAGUUGUGGACGAUGUGAAUAAUUUGGGCUGUGUGGUCAGUAGUGAUGGCAGUCUAGAAAGUAAUGUGAACAGCAGAACUGGCAAAGCAGGGUUCAUACUCGAAUAUAUUCGCCAAAUAUGAGCAACAACAAACACCACUUCUGACAUGAUCUAAUUAUGUAAUAUGUAUGGAAAGUAUCAACAAAGGCUGACAAUGUAAACAGAAAGCCCUCAAAAAUCACCUCGUAAAAUUGAAUUAUGAAUAAGGAAAUCUCUCUGUGAAGCAAAUCCCAGCUUUUACAGAACACUGGGGUACUGCAUUAGCUUUUCCUAGCAGACUAUAUCUUGUACCUGUCAUCCACUUGGCAUACUAAAUCGUGGCAAUAAGAAAGUGGUUAUGUUCAAAAUAGGGUUGAUGGUUAAUACAAAAUGUUUCAGAAUUCAAAUAUCUUACAAAGUGCAUCAACAUAUUUCACUCCUGCUUGACAGGAUUAAGGGGGGGGGGGCAUAAUGGGUCAUUUGCUAGAUUUUCAUUAUUUUUCUCCCAACUUCAAACCAGGAAGUAUGAAUAGUAGCCAUUAUGAAUUGUAUCAUCCUUCCUGCUAAAAAAAAUUUGCACUCUUCCUGGUCACUUCUUUUCAAGCUCUUCAUUCUGAAUCACAGACUUCAGUCACUAAACCAACCAAUUUUCAAUUGUAAAAUGAAACUUGAAACUUUGCUGUGCUGCAAGAAGUACUGCAGAUUUGGAUUUAUGGUUGAAAAAGAGUCAGCUUGUUUCCUUUAAAUACAUCAAGUUUCCAGAAGCACAACUUUGUCCUGGUAUGAUUUACUGUAGUCUGUACCAUGAGUUGUUAACAUUAUAUUCUAUUGAUGAUAAUCAUUGUCAACAAUCAGUUGCUUCAGUGGAACCAAUUUCAGCCUACCCACCAAAAUAUACUCCACUCAGAAGAUUAUUUUUGUGGGGAGUAAUAUAUUUUGUUUGCUUUGUGCUAUGUCGUACUAAAUUUACCCAAGUAAAGCUAUAGUUGCAUGUGUUCCUUUACAUUCAGAAGUUUUAUCAAGUUGACUAACCAAUCUCUAGUUGUCAUUUUAAAAUCUUAACCAACAUAUAAAGUGUAUGCAAUUCUGCAACAAUAUUAAUGACGUGA
rnacentral:lncRNA from 1 species